UGCGCACAUUGUUAGAGCUUGGAACUGGGGUCCGCGUGUGACCGGGGAGUUCCCAAGUGUAGGUAGUGUGCAACACGAGGGGCAAGGCGUUCGCUGACACUCCAUCCUCGCCCCGUGGGUGGAGCUCGCUAGUGGUCCUUGCUACAGCU